rnacentral:rRNA from 1 species
GACGUAGGGCGCGAGCGUUGUCCGGAUUUAUUGGGCGUAAAGAGCUCGUAGGCGGCUUGUCGCGUCGAAUGUGAAAACUCGGGGCUCAACUCCGAGCUUGCAUUCGAUACGGGCAGGCUAGAGUUCGGUAGGGGAGACUGGAAUUCCUGGUGUAGCGGUGAAAUGCGCAGAUAUCAGGAGGAACACCGGUGGCGAAGGCGGGUCUCUGGGCCGAUACUGACGCUGAGGAGCGAAAGCCAGGGGAGCAAACGGG